UAGCUCAGUCAGUUAGAGCAUGGUGCUGAUAACACCAAGGCCGCGGGUUCGAUCCCUGU
rnacentral:tRNA from 1 species